rnacentral:rRNA from 1 species
AACGUAGGAGACAAACGUUAUCCGGAGUUACUGGGCGUAAAGGGCGUGUAGGCGGUUUGUUAAGUCUGGCGUGAAAGCUCUCGGCUAAACCGGGAGAGGUCGUUGGAUACUGGCAAACUAGAGGAUGGUAGAGGCGUGUGGAAUUCCGGGUGUAGUGGUGAAAUGCGUAGAGAUCCGGAGGAACACCAGUGGCGAAGGCGGUUCUCUGGGCCUGUACUGACGCUGAGGAGCGAAAGCGUGGGGAGCGAACAGG